AAAAUCUGUCAGUCAUACGUACGCUCACUCUCAACAAUCAAAGUAAUUUUCCACCUUUUAUUUGAAACCUCGAAAAGGAAAUUCUUGUGUUAUUUUUGGCGUGUAAGAAGCAUACCCUACCAGUACUAUUUUGUAGCUUGUUUAAGGAUCCAGGGUCAAUCCCCAACUAUCCCCUUUGAGUACAAUCAGGUCUGAACGGGCCCAAAAACGCUGACCUCAAGUAAAGACUUGCGUCAUAUUCCUGUCCUUUGGAGGAUCCCUUUGGGAGUUUGUUUGGCGACCAUCUGGACUACUCACAUCUACGUACUUAAAGUCGUGUAAGGCCAUAUCAUUGUUACGAAGGCUUGCUUUAACUCCCACUUGGUCAGGCCCACUCUCGUACAUACCUGGUAUUAAAAGCGAAUAUCUACAAAGGCAGUUUCGUUUCCGUAAAGGCUAUCUCACUCCUUUUAGUAGAAAAAGUCAGUUUGGAUUCCGGAUUUGUGCAGUAAGAGUAAAGUUGUCUCGCCACGUCGAAAUUCCUUUAAAACGUGUCGCGUCCUCGGAGAACUUCCUGUGUAGCCAACCCAGUAGCUCCUCCAAUCUGCUGCCCUUAUUGGACUUGGAAAUUUAGUUUAGUGUGAUCGUUGCGAGGGAGGCCAUGAUGUGGGACCUCGUUCACGGACCCGAUAAAUAUUCUUGCACGAAUUAUAUUACGAUGUACUAGUUGUUUUUUUAAAUUUCAACGCCAAAGUCAACACUUCAAUUUUUCGAAAUAUCGAAAGUUUGGGGCCGUUCAUAAAUAAUGUGAGGCAAAAAUCGUGAUUUUUUACCCUCCAUCCCUCUUUAACAUGUGUCACAUAGGAAUGCUGUCACAUUGGAACCUUUCCCCCCACUUUCGCCUAACAUAAUUUAUGAAUGGCCCAUUUUCGAAAAUUUCGAAACUUCAAAAAAUUGAAUUUAAUAGCAGAUAUGAUAGAGCAAGUAUUUAGGAUCAAAUUAAUAUAUAAAAUACGAAAAUCGAAUCAGAAAUGGAUUUUUGGUGAUUUUUUUUAAACAACGGAAAACAGAGUAUAACCUGUUUUUGCUCAUAUCAGGGGGUGUAACGAGGGUAAUUUGCCUCAUAGGGUCAAGCCCUUCGAGGCUCAUAACUCACGACCCUAUGGCCACCACAUAUCCAAACGGCAUCAAAAUCGGAUAUGUGCACAGGGAAAACCAUCGUCUUGAACGUUUUACAUGAUUUCUAAAUUGGGUCUAAAAUGACGCCUCGACCGGACCGCAGGGUGCGAAGGUCAUUUCUGUAUAAAUCUUUUUUCCGAGUUUCUGAAAAAUAAACCCCCCAUAGAUGACCCGUGCCACACGUAAAAAAAAAUUCUGAAAAUUCAUAAUACACAAUUUCGAAAUACCAAAUUCAUGAUCGAAGUUAAGUACCCACUUAAACGAAACGAGGGAAAAAUUUCCAAAGUCUGCUUUUUUUUAUUGGAUUGUACCCCAUUGUUCAUCUUUCAAUCCACAAAAGCUUCUACAGAUGGAUCCGUGAGUGCUUCUAGCUUUUAUUAAUCACAUAAUUAAAUGAGUAACUUAAUGAUAGUUUCAUGAGCAAUUAAUAUAUGUACAUACAUAUUUGACAAAUUAGAUAAUGGGGCAUCUCGUCGGGGGAUUUGCGUGGUUCAACCACGCAAUUUUUUUAGGCUUGAAAAUAUAUGCAAGCUAGCGUUCAUUCUGUAAAUGUAAUUUCUGUCUCAAUGUCUCAAAGUCCCCAGUCUGUAUCCUCGUUCCUUAUAAUAUGGUAUCAUUUUACAAUAUAUGAAUAUGUAUUAAGUGCUGUCGCCGUGAAUACUUUUAUUGAUUUAUGUAACUAAUGAUUUAAUUUUAACUGGUAAUUUUAAGGUUUUAAAUGUAUGUAUGCAAAUCUAUGAUUUUAAGAUAUUUGGUACAUAUGGGCGAUCACAUUGGUUAUGAAACAUUGUAUGUAUACGAAUUCUUAUAUAGGUAUAUGUAUUUAUAUUGGUUGAAAAACACUUGGGUGACUAAAGCAUGGCAAAGUCGUAUGUCAAACCUGUGACACUGUUUUAGCCAGUGAAUGUGAGAUGUGGCAUUAAUUAAGUGGAUUUUUUAGCCAGGAAAAAGAAGACAAUUUAGACCCAUUCGAGCCGAGGAAAUUUACGUUCGAAUAAAGUAGUCGGCUUUACAACAUUCUUCCAUAUUUUAUAAUAGUCAAUGGCUCAUCUUAAUGUUGAUAUAUAAGUUAAUCUAAAAGUAAUCGCCAUGUUAUAAAAUAAAGCUACGUUUUGUGU